rnacentral:rRNA from 1 species
ACGUAGGUGGCAAGCGUUGUCCGGAAUUAUUGGGCGUAAAGCGCGCGCAGGUGGUUAUAUAAGUCUGAUUUUAAAGUUCGGGGCUCAACCCCGUGAUGGAUUGGAAACUGUAUAACUUGAGUACAGUAGAGGUAAGCGGAAUUCCCAGUGUAGCGGUGAAAUGCGUAGAUAUUAGGAGGAACACCAGUGGCGAAGGCGACUUUCUGGACUGUAACUGACACUGAGGCACGAAAGCGUGGGGAGCAAACAG